rnacentral:misc_RNA from 1 species
AAGUCGUAACAAGGUUUCCGUAGGUGAACCUGCGGAAGGAUAUCCUUACAGAGCUAGUGACACUUUCAGACACUAACAAGCAGAGGGAUGCCAGACCACUUGCCUCGCGUCUUCUUACCCAGACCAACGAAGUCCCUGAAUCAAAACUGUUCGGCGAUGAUUUACCAGGGAUUGCGUAUUUCCAACAGAGGGCACGACUACAAUAAAGGUUCACGGGGGGUUUAACGUUGGAUACGUGUUAAUGGGCGCAGUAACGAUCGCUAGAGGCCGACACGGCCGGCGACUGGACCGCUGGGUUUUAACCCCCCUGAUCACCUUUGCAUGAAAACGGGCCUGCGCUUAAUUGUGCGGCCACCAAACUUCGAACAACUGUUAACAAUGGAUAUCUUGGUUCUC